GACGAACGCUGGCGGCGUGCCUAAUACAUGCAAGUAGAACGCUGAAGGAGGAGCUUGCUUCUCUGGAUGAGUUGUGAACGGGUGAGUAACGCGUAGGUAACCUGCCUGGUAGCGGGGGAUAACUAUUGGAAACGAUAGCUAAUACCGCAUAACAGUAGAUAUCGCAUGAUAUCUACUUGAAAGGUGCAAUUGCAUCACUACCAGAUGGACCUGCGUUGUAUUAGCUAGUUGGUGAGGUAACGGCUCACCAAGGCGACGAUACAUAGCCGACCUGAGAGGGUGAUCGGCCACACUGGGACUGAGACACGGCCCAGACUCCUACGGGAGGCAGCAGUAGGGAAUCUUCGGCAAUGGACGGAAGUCUGACCGAGCAACGCCGCGUGAGUGAAGAAGGUUUUCGGAUCGUAAAGCUCUGUUGUAAGAGAAGAACGAGUGUGAGAGUGGAAAGUUCACACUGUGACGGUAUCUUACCAGAAAGAGACGGCUAACUACGUG
rnacentral:rRNA from 1 species